rnacentral:rRNA from 1 species
UGGGGAAUAUUGCACAAUGGGCGAAAGCCUGAUGCAGCAACGCCGCGUGAGUGAUGAAGGCCUUCGGGUUGUAAAGCUCUGUCUUCUGGGACGAUAAUGACGGUACCAGAGGAGGAAGCCACGGCUAACUACGUGCCAGCAGCCGCGGUAAUACGUAGGUGGCAAGCGUUGUCCGGAUUUACUGGGCGUAAAGGAUGCGUAGGCGGAUACUUAAGUCAGAUGUGAAAAUCCCGGGCUUAACUUGGGAACUGCAUUUGAAACUGGGUACCUAGAGUGCGGGAGAGGAAAGUGGAAUUCCUAGUGUAGCGGUGAAAUGCGUAGAGAUUAGGAAGAACACCAGUGGCGAAGGCGACUUUCUGGACCGUAACUGACGCUGAGGCAUGAAAGCGUGGGGAGCAAACA